rnacentral:misc_RNA from 1 species
GAUGAAGAACGUAGUGAAAUGCGAUAAGUAAUGUGAAUUGCAGAAUUCAGUGAAUCAUCGAAUCUUUGAACGCACCUUGCGCUCCUUGGUAUUCCGAGGAGCAUGCCUGUUUGAGUGUCUUGAAGUCAUCAACCCCGACCGUUUUCGCAACGGGCGUGGGCUUGGAGCUGGGGGACUUUUGCCGCCGAAAGGCCGGCUCCCCUCAAAUGCGUCGGUUGGGCCUGCAGGUCAAACUCGACUGGGCGUUGUACCAUCCUCGCUCCAUCGAGACAGAUCGGCGACCGUGCCCCGCCCCGACCGCCUCUUCUUCAGGGUGGCGGUCAAUAAGCAUUUUUGAAAUCUGACCUCAAAUCAGGUAGGACUACCCGCUGAACUUAAGCAUAUCAAUAAGCGGAGGA